GGUUCUUUGCGUGGUGCUCAUUAGUAAUAAACUAAAGGAAAUUUACAUGAAGAUGAAGAUUUUCUUGCUGGUUGUGUUGGCAUAAUAAAGCUGAAUAAGCACUCAGAGCCUCAGUGGAGCUGCAGGCACAGAGUUUAAGAGAGAGAUUGUAUGGUGGACUAACAGAAGAGGACAAAGCCAGGUCAGAAGAAUCACUUCCCUAAAAUUCCCCAAAUGCCUCUCAUCCUUCUAAGAUGCAGUGGGAAAGAAGGGGUAAAAUUCAUCCGGAGCCGAAGAAGGCGAUAAAGGUUACAUCUUCUAACCAUCAGUACACGUUGAGAAUGGAGAGAGACCAUUUCUUCAGGAGACCUGCUUCCGUCCUUCUCUGAAUCCAGUCUGAUGGAGCAGCCCCUAUGGGGAACACGCCAUUUUCCCGGGGCAAAAGGAAGACACAAGUCACUGAGCCUCCAAGGUCUCUGAGAGCUUCUGUCUGGAUGCGGCGUUUGUCACUUCUGCUCAAGUCCAUUUGCCAAGGCAAGCCAUAGGGUCACACUGGCCAUCAGUGAGGCAGGGAAAUCAUACCACAGGAAGGUCACUGCAAGUCACAGAGCAGCCAAGAAGGGACCAUUACUGGUAAAGGGAGUGACUGACUGGAAAAUACUGUUAAUGCAGUGGCUCAGAGUCUACAAAGAGAUACUCUAAGAUUCUGAGAAUCAUCUCUAAAGGUUUCAGUAUCACCUUAAAAAAUAAUGAGAAGUUCACAUUCUGCUUCAGAACUAGUCAAGGUGGCUCAAUUAUAAAAGUAGUUCUACUUCCCUGAGAAUCUCCAAAAAAAAUUGACCCCCCUACCCGCCAAGCAGCACUGUGUUUAGCCACACCUGUGCUCGGACACAUGCUCUCUAGCACCAGACCGAGCAUCCCAAGGGGGGAGGACGGCUCCUCCCACUUCCCUCCAGCUUUAAACCUUCUUGAACAAAAUUUUGGGGAAAGGAAAUGAUAUAACUUCUUGUGGCCUACAGUUCCUGUAGGACUGAUUAAUUUAUCUUAUUAGCUAUGUUGUUUAGAGCCUUCGUUUCUUCAAUGAUUUGUGUCUAUUUGAUCUGUUGUCCAUUAAAAAUGAAGGAUGAGGGGAGCCUGGCUGGCUCAGUCCGAGGAGCAUGUGACUCUUGAUCUCAGGGUCAUGAGUUCAAGCCCCACACUGGGUACAGAGAUUAGUUACAUAAAUAAAACUUUUAAAAAAAUGAAGGAUUAAACUUUACAAAUACAACUUUAUUUCUCCGGAUCUGUAUCUCCCUACCUUCAUGUAUGUUGUCACUUCUAUCUGGAACGCGUUUGCGUG